rnacentral:rRNA from 1 species
GACGAACCGUACGAACGUUAUUCGGAAUCACUGGGCUUAAAGGGUGCGUAGGCGGCGCGACAAGUUGGGUGUGAAAUCCCUCGGCUCAACCGAGGAACUGCGCCCAAAACUGUCGUGCUCGAGGGAGACAGAGGUGAGCGGAACUUAGGGUGGAGCGGUGAAAUGCGUUGAUAUCCUAAGGAACACCGGUGGCGAAAGCGGCUCACUGGGUCUCUGCUGACGCUGAGGCACGAAAGCUAGGGUAGCGAACGGG